UACGUAGGGUGCGAGCGUUGUCCGGAAUUGCUGGGCGUAAAGAGCUCGUAGGUGGUUUGUCGCGUUGUCCGUGAAAACUCACAACUCAAUUGUGGGCGUGCGGGCGAUACGGGCAGACUGGAGUACUGCAGGGGAGACUGGAAUUCCUGGUGUAGCGGUGAAAUGCGCAGAUAUCAGGAGGAACACCGGUGGCGAAGGCGGGUCUCUGGGCCGAUACUGACGCUGAGGAGCGAAAGCGUGGGGAGCGAACAGG
rnacentral:rRNA from 1 species